GAUGAACGCUCGCGGCAGGCUUAACACAUGCAAGUCGAGGGGUAUUUAUCUUCGGAUAGAGAGACCGGCGCACGGGUGCGUAACGCGUAUGCAAUCUACCUUUUACAGAGGGAUAGCCCAGAGAAAUUUGGAUUAAUACCUCAUAGUAUAUAGACUCGGCAUCGAGAUUAUAUUAAAGUCACAACGGUAAAAGAUGAGCAUGCGUCCCAUUAGCUAGUUGGUAAGGUAACGGCUUACCAAGGCUACGAUGGGUAGGGGUCCUGAGAGGGAGAUCCCCCACACUGGUACUGAGACACGGACCAGACUCCUACGGGAGGCAGCAGUGAGGAAUAUUGGACAAUGGGCGCAAGCCUGAUCCAGCCAUGCCGCGUGCAGGAUGACGGUCCUAUGGAUUGUAAACUGCUUUUAUACGAGAAGAAACACUGCUACGUGUAGCAGCUUGACGGUAUCGUAAGAAUAAGGAUCGGCUAACUCCGUG
rnacentral:rRNA from 1 species